rfam:Desulfovibrio gracilis DSM 16080 genome assembly, contig: BR08DRAFT_scaffold00003.3
AGAGUGAAGCCGGGCGGCGGUGACGCCGUGAACCCCGUCAGGCCCGAAAGGGAGCAGCGGUAGUGGUUGUCUCCGGGUGCCUGGCUUCUCUCAAAGGC